GCAGAUACUCGCUUGUGGUUUCCUCGCAAAUGUCGUCCAAAUGUUGCCAGCCAUUUUCUUGCAAGGCCGAGGAAGAAGAUUUCUUCCUCGAAAUCACUCGGUAUCGGUCUUCCCACAGCAGUGACUUGUGGUGGGAAGUAAGGAUUUGGCUAGUCUGAUGUAGCCACUACUGGCACUCGGCCUGUUCUCGUGGCUUGGGCUGCACAUAUCCAAUAUCUGCAGGCUGCCGUUGCGCUUCCUUGUUCAAGUCCUUCUCCUCCUCCGAGGAAACUGCAACUGUCUGCCCUUUCUGAACCUUCUGCAAGUACUCCGGCAUAGCCACUUUUAUGCGUAGUCCUGGCACUAGUUAAUG
rnacentral:lncRNA from 1 species